rnacentral:rRNA from 2 species
GUUCUAACGUAGACCCGUGAUCCGGGUUGCGGACAGUGUCUGGUGGGUAGUUUGACUGGGGCGGUCUCCUCCUAAAGAGUAACGGAGGAGCACGAAGGUUAGCUAAUCCUGGUCGGACAUCAGGAGGUUAGUGCAAAGGCAUAAGCUAGCUUGACUGCGAGAGUGACGGCUCGAGCAGGUGCGAAAGCAGGUCUUAGUGAUCCGGUGGUUCUGAAUGGAAGGGCCAUCGCUCAACGGAUAAAAGGUACUCCGGGGAUAACAGGCUGAUACCGCCCAAGAGUUCAUAUCGACGGCGGUGUUUGGCACCUCGAUGUCGGCUCAUCACAUCCUGGGGCUGAAGUAGGUCCCAAGGGUAUGGCUGUUCGCCAUUUAAAGUGGUACGCGAGCUGGGUUUAGAACGUCGUGAGACAGUUCGGUCCCUAUCUGCCGUGGGCGCUGGAGAAUUGAGGGGGGCUGCUCCUAGUACGAGAGGACCGGAGUGGACGCAUCACUGGUGUUCGGGUUGUCAUGCCAAUGGCAUUGCCCGGUAGCUAAAUGCGGAAGAGAUAAGUGCUGAAAGCAUCUAAGCACGAAACUUGCCCCGAGAUGAGUUCUCCCUGAC